GACGAACGCUGGCGGCGUGCUUAACACAUGCAAGUCGAACGGAAAGGCCCUGCUUUUGUGGGUGCUCGAGUGGCGAACGGGUGAGUAACACGUGAGUAACCUGCCCUUGACUUUGGGAUAACUUCAGGAAACUGGGGCUAAUACCGGAUAGGAGCUCCUGCUGCAUGGUGGGGGUUGGAAAGUUUCGGCGGUUGGGGAUGGACUCGCGGCUUAUCAGCUUGUUGGUGGGGUAGUGGCUUACCAAGGCUUUGACGGGUAGCCGGCCUGAGAGGGUGACCGGCACAAUGGGGAAGGGGAUCCGGCCCAGACCCCUAGGGGGGGAGGCGGGGGGGAAUUUUGCACAAGGGGGGGAAGCCUGAGGAAGAACCGCCGGGGGGGGAAUGCCGGCUUUGGGUGUGAAAACCGUUUUCCCCUGUGACGAAGGGUGGGUGGGGGAAAGGGGAAAAAAACCACCGGCUAACUACG
rnacentral:rRNA from 1 species